ACCGCCAUACACGAGGGCGCGCUCACCCGUCUGCGGCCGGUGCUGAUGACAGCGCUCAUUGCGUCACUCGGUUUCAUGCCGAUGGCGUUC
rnacentral:tRNA from 1 species